rnacentral:rRNA from 1 species
UACGUAGGCAGCAAGCGUUGUUCGGAGUUACUGGGCGUAAAGGGUGCGUAGGCGGCUUCUUAAGUCUGGUGUGAAAUCUCCCGGCUCAACUGGGAGGGUGCGCCGGAUACUGAGGGGCUAGAGUGUGGGAGAGGAAGUGGAAUUCCUGGUGUAGCGGUGAAAUGCGUAGAUAUCAGGAGGAACACCGGUGGUGUAAACGGCUUCUGGACCAUAACUGACGCUGAGGCACGAAAGCGUGGGUAGCAAACAGG